AUUGUAUUUCAAUUUUUUAAAUCCAUCACAUUGAUUACCCCAAUCGAAGUUUUACUGAAUUAAAACACACUAAUACAUUAACUCCUACUUAUUCGAAGGGAUCAAUUCUAUCUUGACACACACCGACUUCGUAAGUACUUGACGCUGCCCAAAAGUCUUUCAUCACUGAAUUAGAAAUUUAGGUAGUCCAGCACCAAUGUACAGUGAGUUGCUUGCAAGUCACCAUGGUGAUCUAAAAUCGGA
rnacentral:lncRNA from 1 species